CCUACGGGAGGCAGCAGUGAGGAAUAUUGGUCAAUGGGCGCGAGCCUGAACCAGCCAAGUCGCGUGAGGGAUGACGGCCCUACGGGUUGUAAACCUCUUUUGCCGAGGCGCAACGUCCGCCACGUGUGGCUCCACUGGGAUUACCCGGAGAAAAAGCAUCGGCUAACUCCGUGCCAGCAGCCGCGGUAAUACGGGGGAUGCGAGCUUUAUCCGGAUUUAUUGGGUUUAAAGGGUGCGUAGGCGGAUCGUUAAGUCAGUGUUAAAAUUGAGGGGCUCAACCCCUGCCCGCCAUUGAAACUGGCGCUCUUGAGUGGAAGAGAGGUAUGCGGAAUGCGUGGUGGAGCGGUGAAAUGCAUAGAUAUCACGCAGAACCCCGAUUGCGAAGGCAGCAUGCCGGCUGCGGACUGACGCUGAAGCACGAAAGCGUGGGGAUCGAACAGGAUUAGAUACCCGAGUAGUC
rnacentral:rRNA from 1 species